UAUUAUUAUAAGUAAAAUCUGCUCAAUGAAUAUUAAAUAGCCGCAGAAAACUGUGCAAAGGUAGCAUAAUCAUUAGCCUUUUAAUUAAAGGCAAGUAUGAAAGAUUUAACGUUUAAAUUCCUUUUUUUUAUGAAUUUUUGAAAUUUUCUUGAAAAUAAAAAUAUUUUCAUAUAAAAGUUAGACGACAAGACCCUAUUGAACUUAACUGAAGUUUAGCUGGGGCAGCUAUAUAAUAAUUAUUUUAUUUUUAAUAUUAAAUUUUAUGACCCAAUAAAAUUGAAUCAUCGAUCAAGUUACCAUAGGGAUAACAGCGUAAUAAUCCUUUGAAGCUCUUAUUUAAAGUAUAUAUUGCGACCUCGAUGUUGAAUUAAUUUUCCUUUAAAACGCAAUAGUUUUAAA
rnacentral:rRNA from 1 species